UACGUAGGCAGCGAGCGUUGUUCGGAGUUACUGGGCGUAAAGCGCGCGCAGGCGGUCUUCCAAGUCAGUGGUGAAAGCCCGGAGCUCAACUCCGGAACUGCCAUUGAAACUGUGAGACUGGAGUACGAGAGAGGUGAGUGGAAUUCCCAGUGUAGAGGUGAAAUUCGUAGAUAUUGGGAAGAACACCGGUGGCGAAGGCGGCUCACUGGCUCGUAACUGACGCUCAGGCGCGACAGCGUGGGGAUCAAACAGG
rnacentral:rRNA from 1 species